GCCUCCAUGGAGUAGUGAUAGAGCACGCGUCUUCGAAUAGGAUGAAACGCGGGUUCGAUUCCCGCUUGAGGCC